ensembl:lncRNA
CUUGGUCGGUGUUUGACUUGUAAUGGAAAAUUGGGGGUGAGGAGGAGAUAAUCCUCUUUUCUAAUGAAUUUGGUUACAAUGAAAAUUCUAAUUUUUUUUUAAAAAAUAACUUUUUAGAGUUUAAAAAGUUUUAACUACUUCCACCUCUGAACCACCUAUGAGUUUGAAUUUACAAAUGACCAGCCCCUAAAAGAUACUAUUAUCAGGGAUGAGGGCUUCACGUGUUGGAAUCUUCAAGUGAAGCCCUGUGAGCUCCUCAGAGAUACUGAUGACUUGAUUCCAACUCCACUGCAGCCUUUAUAGAGCAGGGUGUAUGGGGGCAGGACUCAGAAGAGAACAGAUCAUUUUGGGUCAUCGAUUUUUUUUUCAAAAGCCAGAGGUAGGAUCAAACAAAAGAAACUCAGUUAUAUUUGGAAGAUACAACAUAAUGUGACAAACCACUCUUUUCUUUGUUGGAAAGUUGAAUACGUGUUUGGGUUAGGAAUGAUCAUAGUGUUGUUGUCUGAGGUAUCAGCAUUAGGAUAUAUUUGGAAGCAUGUUGCUGCGAUGCAUCAGGUUUGCCUAUAAGGUUUGCUAAGAGGCCAAAUUUUGUAUUGGGGUUGUAAAUGUUUCCCCAUGCACAACAGGAAAAAAAAUGAGCAAGAUUUACAGACGGGAGAGUGAAGGAAUUGGGCAUUUUGAAGAAACCAAUUGAAAAGCUAAAGUUUAUCCUUUGGGGCCAAAAAGAGACUGCGGUGAUCUUCCUAUGCCUUAUUGAUGCUGCCUAUCUGCUGACAAGCUGAUUUUCACCAGGGGGCCAGAACACAUGCUUAGGAUAUAGUUUUUCUUCACCUAUUUUUCCAAGAAGCACCCAAGUCUAUGGGGAAUAUUUGGACCAAUCUGAUUAAUUAUUGGAAAAGGACAGCAUUUUUCUAUAAAAUAGAGCGAGUCAAUGAACUCCAGUGGAAAUGCUCUAUCGGUUCUAUAUUAAUUUAACUCCUAGUUCAGAUUAAGGAGGACAUUCCACUUUAACUCAGAAUGGGGUGACUCACGUCUUCAUGUUCGUUUUAUUUAAGUAAUAGGUUCUGUAUAAAUAUAUGAUUGAAAUCAUUCUUGUUGAGUAUUUUAAAAUAAAGAGGGCAUAGGUUUGUUGUUUUUUUCUUAAUUAUGCCAUUUUUCUGCCUUAUGAUGCAGAUGUUCUGGAUGGUAAAAGAAGUAAUUAUAGUCUCUCCUUUGGAGAGUAAAGUAUCACACAGUGAAGAUUCUUACAAAAGAAAGACCGAGAAAGUGUAACUCCACAGGUAUUUAACUGAGAAAGUUUUAUAAAAAUCCAUUAAGACUUAUUUGAUCUUAUUUAAAGAGGUUGAAAAAAUACUUGUUUACACUUGGAUUGUACGUUUGGUAAUUAUUUCUAAAACUUGUAUGUAGACUGAAAUUCCUAGUAAAUUUUAUUUUGGCUGCAGAAAAAAAAUGCUACACCACAGUAUUUGCGUUAGCAGUCUUUUCAUUCAUCCAUCAGGCCUUUUGUUUGAGACCUUAUUUCCUCAUCAAUGCCAGUAAAGAAUUAUCAGUUCCUAAAAACUGUAACUAUAGUUUAUCUUUACAUGGUCCCUCCUACUUUACAGAAAGCUCUUCACUUACACUAUCUCACAUGGUGAUCCUCACAAUAGCCCUAUGAGGCAGCCAAUGCAAGUGUGAGGAUACCUCAUUUCCCAGAUGAGGAAAGUAAAGUUCACAAGAGUCAGUGGGUUCAGUCCAGAGCAUGGACACUGAUCCACAAUUUCUCCCAUUUGAUCCAAUGUGCUUUCCAUGAUGUCAGGGUAUCCCCAAGUGCUCCUGUGUGAUACCCCGAGGGCUCAAAAGGCCCCAAAGGCCCCAAAAGGGCUUUGAGCCCUUAAGGCUCAAAGAAGGAAUCACACAUACAUAUAUGUACACACAUAUACACACACACAUACACACAAUCUCUAGGGAGUCUUCCUUUUUCACUCACCACAGGCCAUUUAAUUCAUGGCCACAGACAGGUGAUGUUGCUGAAAGCCUUAGGUCAACCCCAAACCUGGGAAUCUGUCUCACUUGGCCCUGAGUCAGCCUAGAAGUAGCUGGGUUGGCUUCAGAUCCACUUCCAUUUUUUUUCUGCUCAGUAAAACAAGUCAGGAACAUGAAGGAGGAGAAGAGAAGGGACCCAGUGCACAGUAUUACUCUUUUGGAGCUAACAACAGAGCUUAUAGAUUAUCAACUCCAAUCAGAUGAAGAAACUGAGGGUCCAAGUGGGAAAGUCACAUAGUAAGCCCCAGAACUGGGAUGCAAACUCGGAUGCUCUAAGUCCCUAUCUACCACUCCUACUCCACCAUGCUGCCAGAGGCCCAGAACUCACUUUUUUAUAGCACUUUAUGCUUUACAAAGCACUCUCCUCUCAGACAUUAUCAAUAGCUUACAGACUAGACAAUCAUCCACUGGUUGAGCUAAUUAUAAAAUGGAAGUACAUUGUUUAAAAAAUAAAAACACCACUAUGUGUGCUCAUCAUUAAUAAACUUAUCUAUAGAUUUGAACAUAUUGUGACCAAUUUUUUUAAAAUUUGCAAAAUGUACUGGUAUAUCCUUAUCAGCAACACAUCACAGUAUUAAGUCCAGAAAUCUCCCAAUAAUUUUAUUAUGUAUGGUGCUUGUUUUAUCAUAAUAUAAAAAAAUACCCACACACUUUGAUUACUUAUUAUUAGACAUUUCACUUUGGUGUGGGGGGAGAAGCUUAUGUUAUUGGGUUGUCUUGAUUGUUCCUAUCUGUGAUAAAGAUUUUUUUUCUUUAGAAUAAAGUUUCUUGAAAAGAAAUAACAGUGGAAAUUCAUUUGGAAUGUAUCUUGGAGGAGGUAUAAAAAAUUGCACAUUCUAGACUGCUCGUCAUUGUCAGCGAAGUUUUUCUUGUUGUUUCAGUGAAUUGGAGUUCCUUCCUAGCCCUAUCCUCUGAGAGAAAUAAUUCAUUCUGGAUCCUACCCUGUUCUAAUCAGUAUUAAUCAAUUUGAAAAUUGAUUGAAUAUGAUGGAAUUGAAAAUCAAUUUGAAAAAUCUUAUAUAUAUAAUAUAUAUAAAAGAAUUUGAAAAAAUUCUGUAUAUAUAAGAAUUUGAAAAUUUGAGAAAAUUCUGUAUAUAAGGCUCCAGAGCUGUGAGCUGCAGAUUCUCCAUUUACUUACUUAACUAUAGAAAGUUAGCUAACGGCCCUCCACCUUUAGUUUGCCUUGACAAUGACCAAACUCAGCUUGGCAGAGAUGACAACUUCAUGGAAAGUCCCCCAAAAUAUUUUUGCACUUACGGACCAAUCACUUGUUCAAUAGGAACGGAUGACCAUCUUAUGACCUCUUAGAUCUUUGACUGUGAUAGCUUUUUAUCAUUUCUUCCUAAAUUAAAGGAAUCUUAUGUGGAAAUAUUCCUUACUUGUGACCCUGCUGGAAUAUUAUUUUGCUUAUUCAAUGGAAUUAUUCUAUAUUUGGUAUAGCUGUUCUAGAAUGACUGGACAUCUAGCCCUAUAAAAAUAGGGUCCUAGAAGGAGGUCACAUCUCAGAUCAUGAGGAACAUCUGAG